UGUGGCGGGACUGUGAGUUUCCGGUCUGGGCUGUGGCGGGAUUGGUUUGAAGGUGUGCUGUUUGACGAAAGUAUGUCUCAGGAACGCGCCGUCCCGGCUAGCGCGGUUCCCCUGGAAGAAUUAAGUAGCUGGCCAGAGGAACUAUGCCGCCGGGAACUGCCAUCCGUCCUGCCCCGACUCCUCUCAUUGUCUCAACAUUCUGACAGUUGGAUUGAGCAUGUUCAAAUUUUGAAAAUUAUUGUAGAAAUGUUUUUACCUCAUAUGAACCACCUGACAUUGGAACAGACUUUCUUUUCACAAGUGUUACCAAAGACUGUGAAAUUAUUUGAUGACAUGGUAUAUGAAUUAACCAGUCAAGCCAAUGGACUGUCAAGCCAAAAUUUGGAAAUCCAGACUACUUUAAGGAAUAUUUUACAGACAAUGGUGCAGCUCUUAGGAGCUCUUACAGGAUGUGUUCAGCAUGUCUGUGCCACACAGGAAUCCAUCAUUUUGGAAAAUAUUCAGAGUCUCCCCUCCUCAGUCCUUCAUGUAAUUAAAAGCACAUUUGUGCAUUGUAAGAAUAGUGAAUCUGUGUAUUCUGGGCGUUUACACCUAGUUUCAGACCUUCUUCAGGCUCUUUUCAAGGAGGCCUAUUCUCUUCAAAAGCAGCUAAUGGAACUGCUGGACAUGGUUUGCAUGGACCCUUCAGUAGAUGAGAAUGAUGAUAUUUUGAAUAUGGUAAUAGUUAUUCAUUCUUUAUUGGAUAUCUGCUCUGUUAUUUCCAGUAUGGACCAUGCAUUUCAUGCCAAUACUUGGAAGUUUAUAAUUAAGCAGAGCCUUAAGCACCAGUCCAUAAUAAAAAGCCAGUUGAAACACAAAGAUAUAAUUACUAGCUUGUGUGAAGACAUUCUUUUCUCCUUCCAUUCUUGUUUACAUUUAGCUGAGCAGAUGACACAGUCAGAUGCACAGGAUAAUGCUGACUACAGAUUAUUUCAGAAAACACUCAAAUUGUGUCGUUUUUUUGCCAACUCCCUUUUGCACUAUACUAAGGAAUUUCUUCCUUUCCUCUCUGAUUCUUGCUGUAAUUUGCACCAGCUGUAUCUUCAGAUACACAGCAAGUUUCCUCCAAGCCUUUAUGCUACCAGGAUUUCUAAAGCACACCAAGAGGAAAUAGCAGGUGCUUUCCUAGUGACACUGGAUCCACUUAUCAGUCAGCUGCUCACAUUUCAACCUUUUGUGCAGGUGGUUUUAGAUAGUAGAUUAGACCUGCCAUGUGAACUACAGUUUCCACAAUGUCUUCUUCUGGUUGUUGUCAUGGAUAAGCUGCCAUUUCAGUCUAAGGAAGUGCAAACCCUGUGGUGCACAGACAGCCAGGCCUCAGAAACUACAACCAGGAUAUCUCUACUCAAAGCCAUUUUCUACAGUUUUGAGCAGUGUUCUGGUGAACUCUCUCUACCUGUUCAUUUACAGGGAUUAAAGAGUAAGGGGAAAGCUGAGGUGGCUGUCACAUUGUAUCAGCAUGUUUGUGUUCAUCUGUGUACAUUUAUUACUUCUUUUCAUCCCUCACUAUUUGCUGAACUGGAUGCUGCUCUGCUGAAUGCUGUACUUAGUGCUAAUAUGAUCACCUCUUUGUUAGCUAUGGAUGCAUGGUGCUUCCUUGCUCGAUAUGGGACUGCUGAACUCUGUGCACACCAUGUCACCAUAGUGGCUCAUCUGAUAAAAUCAUGCCCUGGAGAAUGUUAUCAACUCAUCAACCUAUCAAUACUGUUGAAGCGUCUCUUUUUCUUCAUGGCCCCACCCCAUCAGCUGGAGUUUAUCCAUAAAUUUUCCCCAAAAGAAGCAGAAAAUCUGCCUCUCUGGCAGCAUAUUUCCUUCCAGGCGUUACCUGCUGAGCUUAGGAAACAAACUGUCCAUGAGGUCUCCACGGUAGGCACAGCAGAAUGCAGGAAAUGGCUGAGCAGCAGUCGUACUUUAGGAGAACUAGAAUCUCUGAACACAGUACUGUCUGCUCUGCUUACAAUAUGUAAUUCUGCUGGUGAAGCUUUGGAUACAGGAAAACAAACUGCAAUUAUGGAAGUUGUGAGUCAGCUUUGGGCUUUUUUAAACAUUAAACAGGUAAGGAAAACAACUGAUCCUUUCUUUAUCAAAAAACAGAAAAUAUCAAAAAAAGAGGAUAGUACUGAAAUUUUCCAGUGUAGAGUAAAAACUAAUUCUUUUGGGUGUUUGGUAGACCUUUAUAAGAACUUAAAGUAUCUGUACUGUCUCAGGCCGCUGUCAUUUUCAGAGUGUGAUAGCAUUAUAUUAGUAAAAUUAGAAUAUGUGAUGUGAUGGCAGUCCACCUACUUACUUUUCUAACUGGUUAUACCCUCUCCCCCCCCCCCCGCCCCUUAUCUCUUCCCCUAUUGUUUCUGUUCUGUUUUGGGUUAAUGUAUCCCAUUUCUGUGAUUCUAGGACCUUUAAUAAAUCUUUUGGGCAGUGGAGAGUGAGCUGACUUAAAGGUGGAAAGGGCUAGUGAAUAGAUGUGGCUAAUUUCUAUUUCUCUUUCCCAGCAAAGCCAAGAAGCCAAGUGAUGAUCUAAAACUAAUGAUAUGCCUCCCACACCAUGGUUGUACACCUGUUUCUUAGUUUAAAAAUAUAAAUAGGCUGUUUGUUUUCUUUGACUAAGUAUAACACUGGCCUCUGGCAGCUAGUGGAAGCUAAAGGCAACAGCCAUGCUUUUGGGAAAUGAUAGAAAUGAUUUUACAGAUAAUGUUUUAUUAUUAUUUUUUUUUAUGGUCAGAUUACCCUACUGCAUUGUUUUGACUUCAACAAGUACUUUCCCGGAUGUUCACAAAUCAUUCAGUAUUCAUUCAGGAUAUCUGUGAUGGGGAUAUAGCUUACAAUAUUAUAAUGUAAACCAAAAUUAUGAAGAAGAGAAAUGAAAUUUUAAGAUGACUAAGGAACAUAUAAGCCUUUCAGUCACAGACAAGUAAUUAGAUCCCUUUUAGACUUAAAUUUGGAUUUCAAUCACAGCUCUGCUUUUUAUCAUAGCCACGUGAUCUUGAACAAAUUGUUUAACCUCUUUGACCCUGUUUUCUUAUCAGUAAAGGUAAUAAUAUCUACCUCACAGAGCUGUUGUAAGGCAUAAAUGAGGUAGCAGAUCAACCUUACAUUCAGCAGACAUUCAGCCUUUUACUUCCACUGUUGGGAUUUUUCAUUCAAACUC